rnacentral:lncRNA from 1 species
GUGGGGUCUCAUUUUUCUUGUCUCUUCGUACUGAAUCAGAAAAUAUUACUCGUUUUUAUGUUUCUUGAAUUUAUUUUUUUAAACUUUUGAUCAUUAUACGUGAUUAUUUAUUGUUAAUCAGACAGAUUUAAUGGACAACAAAUAUUUGAUAGAACUAUAUAAAGUGGGCUCUCAUUUUCAUUGUCUUGUCUAGCUGAGUCCAUUGAAAUAAAUAUUGUUUAGGUUUGUUGAAAAAAG